UGCAGAGACAGCACUGCUUGGUACACUGUAAAAAGAGAUGUGCCAUUAUAGCACGCGUGUAGCGUGUUACACAUGUGCCAAACUGCUUAAAGUGUGUUAUUUACCCUCUAGAAAGGUUUAUCACAGCUAAAAGUAUGUCGUUUUGACCCACUGAAUGAAAAUGACCCAUUACACAUGUGUCGUUUCUUAUGUACAUUACAUAUAAACAUGAUUGUUACAAGUGAUAACACAAUCACUUGUAAAAAUCAUACUUCAUAUGUCCCUAGGCCCUAGGCCCUGGCAACAAAUGUGACAUAGCAACGAGUGAGACUGUUUAAAUGGUAGCUAGCUAGUUAGUUCAACCAAGUAUAGUACAGUACAGUCGAGACAACUGUUCACUUCAAAGAAUUGAACUGCUGGAACCACCCUCAACUCUGAAACUACCCAGUUUUUCAGUGAAUUGAUAGACUCUACUUGUUUUUUUGGCUGAUGAGUCAGUAAUUCUCCUUUCUCAACAAUGGCAGACUCCUUCGAUUGUGAUAGUGUACGAAACAGAGGGGCUCAAAGGUAGGCCUUCCUAACUACCCUCCAAGUGAGCUAGCUGUCUGAAUCUUAAUACUGGUCCCUGUCAGGGCACACAUUUGAGGUAGGCCAUCCUAACCACCCUCCAAGUGAGCUAGCUGUCUGAAUCUUAAUACUGCAUGGUCCCUGUCAGGGCACAAAUUUGAGGUAGGCCAUCCUAACCACCCUCCAAGUGAGUUAGCUGUCUGAAUCUUAAUACUGGUCCCUGUCAGGGCACAAAUUUGAGGUAGGCCAUCCUAACCACCCUCCAAGUGAGCUAGCUGUCUGAAUCUUAAUACUGGUCCCUGUCAGGGCACAAAUUUGAGGUAGGCCUUCCUAACCACCCUCCAAGUGAACUAGCUGUCUGAAUCUUAACACUGGUCCGAAAUAGCUAUGAAAUACAAGUUCAAAGGACUGUAGUAAAGACUCAUAAUUAACUGGAUGCAUGCACGCAAGUUUUGCAAACACUUCUAAACACUUCUGUUUCAUUUUCAGUUGCUAUAAUUAUGCUAUAGACUCGUCAUUAUUGUUUAUUGUUUUUAAUGAGAUUGAAAUUGAAA